rnacentral:rRNA from 1 species
UACGAAGGGGGCUAGCGUUGCUCGGAAUCACUGGGCGUAAAGCGCUCGUAGGCGGAUUGUUAAGUCAGGGGUGAAAUCCUGGAGCUCAACUCCAGAACUGCCUUUGAUACUGGCGAUCUUGAGUCCGGGAGAGGUGAGUGGAACUGCGAGUGUAGAGGUGAAAUUCGUAGAUAUUCGCAAGAACACCAGUGGCGAAGGCGGCUCACUGGCCCGGUACUGACGCUGAGGUGCGAAAGCGUGGGGAGCAAACAGG